rnacentral:rRNA from 1 species
AUUGAACGCUGGCGGCAGGCCUAACACAUGCAAGUCGAACGAGUGGCGGACGGGUGAGUAAUGUCUGGGAAACUGCCUGAUGGAGGGGGAUAACUACUGGAAACGGUAGCUAAUACCGCAUACCAUCAGAUGUGCCCAGAUGGGCGUAGCUAGUUGGUGGGGUAACGGCUCACCAAGGCGACGAUCCCUAGCUGGUCUGAGAGGAUGACGAGCAACACUGGAACUGGGACGCGGUCCAGACUCUGAGGGGAGGCAGCAGUGGGGAAUAUUGCACAAUGGGCGCAAGCCUGAUGCAGCCAUGCGGGGUGUAUGAAGAGGGCCUUCGGGGUGUAGAGUACUUUAAGCGGGGAGGCGUUACCCGCAGAAGAAGCACCGGCUAACUCCGUGCCAGCAGCCGCGGUAAUAC